rnacentral:rRNA from 1 species
CAGCAGCCACGGUAAUACGGAGGGAGCUAGCGUUGUUCGGAAUUACUGGGCGUAAAGCGCGCGUAGGCGGUUACUCAAGUCAGAGGUGAAAGCCCGGGGCUCAACCCCGGAACUGCCUUUGAAACUAGGUGACUAGAAUCUUGGAGAGGUCAGUGGAAUUCCGAGUGUAGAGGUGAAAUUCGUAGAUAUUCGGAAGAACACCAGUGGCGAAGGCGACUGACUGGACAAGUAUUGACGCUGAGGUGCGAAAGCGUGGGGAGCAAACAGGAUUAGAUACCCCUGUAGUCCCUGUCUCUUAUAA